GCAGGAGUGGCGGAACUGGCAGACGCACUAUCUUGAGGGGGUAGCGAGCACAGCUCAUGAGGGUUCAAAUCCCUUCUCCUGCACCA
rnacentral:tRNA from 1 species